CAGUGCGAGCACAAUGGCUCCGUUCCAGUUUGAGUAUAUAAAAAUCGAGUAUUUUGAUAGCGUUGGGCUUCGAGGCUUUCACGAUAUAUCACGCCUCCUAAAUAUGAUAGCGUUGGGGCUUUGAGGCUUUCACGCCUCCUAAAUAUAAACGCCUGAUAAUUGAUAAAUAAUCAGAGCGAGCACAACGGCUGCAAAAUCACAACAAAUAACAAAAUAUAAGGCAAGUUAAAAACAGUAAAGCUUUACCUACCUCGAUUUCCUUUUCUAAGGCGCUCAAUUAUGUAAAUUUACGGCGAAUAAUCAGUAUUUCUUUGCGUUUCUUUCGACGAAAACCCGGCAUGAAAAUGCUCGUCCGAAAAACUCGGUAUUUGUCGUACAGUCGUACUUUACGAAUCUACCACGUGAUUUACGACCGGUACGCACAGUGCCGGAACACGACGACAUGAAAUUUAGAGCUAUAUGAAAGUUGCAUGCCAUAUAUGGCAUGCAACAAAAAUUCCGCUCCGCGCCGAAAAUUCCACCUAGUGGAAACCCGGCUUAAUAAAGAUUCGCAAGAGCAUGCAGUUAAUCAAAUAGGCAGACUAAUAAAGUUGAGAAGAAAAACGAAUGCAUUCCUACAAUGUUUAACGCAAUCUUAUAAAGGAGAAAACAAUGUUUGCUCCUUU